AGGUUAAGUUAGGCUAGGCUAGGUGUAGGUGGUGGCAGGUUAGGUUAAGUUAGGCUAGGCUAGGUGUAGGUGGUGGCAGGUUAGGUUAAGUUAGGAUAGGCUAGGUGUAGGUGGUGGCAGGUUAGGUUAAGUUAGGCUAGGCUAGGUGUAGGUGGUGAUAGAUUAGGUUAAGUUAGGAUAGGCUAGGUGUAGGUGGUGGCAGGUUUGGGUAGGUUAAGUUAGGAGAGGCUAGGUGCAGGUGGAGUUAUAUAGAGUAAUUUUGAGUGGGAAUUACAAUGAGUAUUUUCCAGAACACCCCGUGGUUAGUUUCGAAGGUACAGCCGAGCGUCUUCACUCAGGAACCACACACCCAUAGAGAGAUUGGGAAUAUACCGCCGGGCCAGUCUGUCGGGCGUGCCAGUGAUGCUCCUCAAACAAAUGGGUAGGCGUGGCUAGGCAAGUGGUUGGCAGUUCACGUGUGUUGCUGUAAACUCCGAUGCUGCGUGCCACAACGAUAUGAUAAUACGUGACAGGCGGAGAGCAAGCCUUAACUGGUUCGAGACAUGUGUUAUCGGGGCCGGGCAACGGGAGAGGUCAGCCGGGCAAGCAAAGGGAUUUCAGUUGUGUGCUCGCGGGGUCCCUGCUCAUGACAUCAUUCCGCUCGUGCCCCACUACCAGAAAUGUGUAUGGGAGCUGGAUCUAGGCCUAUAUUCUCACCUAAGUCUAUAUACACCAAGUCAAGUCAUACGCAGGUUUGUGGGAGGAGACACGGCCGAGGCGUGGUUUAUGCGUGACACUGCUUGGAGCCAAACUAGAGAAUGUAGAAACAGGGAUUUAGAAAAAACGAGGAAAGGCGGACUAAUUUAAAUCAAUCACUUCAACAUGUCCUCCUUCACACCCCACACCGCCGUUUGUAGUCAUUGAAAUUACAGUCACGCAAUAGCACAAGAAAAAGACAUUUUUUUCGUCAGUGGUUUGCCUGAACGCGCUGUGAAAGAAGGCGGGAAUGCACA